rnacentral:tRNA from 16 species
AGGGGUAUAGCUCAGUUGGUAGAGCGGCGGUCUCCAAAACCGCAGGUCACAGGUUCGAGCCCUGUUGCCCCUGCCA